rnacentral:rRNA from 1 species
AUACGGAAGGUCCGGGCGUUAUCCGGAUUUAUUGGGCGUAAAGGGCGCGUAGGCGGCGCGGUAAGUCUGGAGUGAAAGUCCUGCUUUCAAGGUGGGAAUUGCUUUGGAUACUGCCGCGCUUGAGUGCAGGAGAGGUUAUCGGAAUUCCCGGUGUAGCGGUGAAAUGCGUAGAGAUCGGGAGGAACACCAGUGGCGAAGGCGGGUAACUGGACUGCAACUGACGCUGAGGCGCGAAAGUGUGGGGAGCAAACAGGAUUAGAUACCCUGGUAGUCCACACUGUAAACGAUGAAUGCUAGGUGUAAGAGGUAUCGACCCCUUUUGUGCCGGAGUCAACACAAUAAGCAUUCCGCCUGGGGAGUACGGCCGCAAGGUUGAAACUCAAAGGAAUUGACGGGG